CCUACGGGUGGCUGCAGUCGGGAAUCUUGCGCAAUGGAGGAAACUCUGACGCAGUGACGCCGCGUGCAGGAAGAAGGUUUUCGGAUUGUAAACUGCUUUAGACAGGGAAGAAACAAGACAGUACCUGUAAAAUAAGCUCCGGCUAACUACGUGCCAGCAGCCGCGGUAAUACGUAGGGAGCAAGCGUUAUCCGGAUUUAUUGGGUGUAAAGGGUGCGUAGACGGGAAGUCAAGUUGGUUGUGAAAUCCCUCGGCUUAACUGAGGAACUGCAACCAAAACUAACUUUCUUGAGUGCUGGAGAGGAAAGUGGAAUUCCUAGUGUAGCGGUGAAAUGCGUAGAUAUUAGGAGGAACACCAGUGGCGAAGGCAGCUUACUAAACUGUGACUGACAUUGAUGCUCGAAAGUGUGGGUAUCAAACAGGAUUAGAUACCCUUGUAGUC
rnacentral:rRNA from 1 species